GAAAUGCGAUAAGUAAUGUGAAUUGCAGAAUUCAGUGAAUCAUCGAAUCUUUGAACGCACCUUGCACCCUUUGGUAUUCCGAAGGGUACACCCGUUUGAGUGUCAUUGUAAUCUCACUCUGACAGCUUUUGUUGUUGGAUGUGGACUUGGACCCUGUCGUGCAGUUAUGACUGGUCUCAAAUGCAUGAGUGCACCCUGCUUUGCAGCGUUGUCAGUGUGAUACGCAUCUUCACUGAUACAAGCUCCUUCUGGGACACGUCUGUGUUGAUAGGCUCUGUGCUUCCGAACCGUCUUCAGAGACCACCUUUAACAAUUUGACCUCAAAUCGGGUGGGACUACCCGCUGAACUUAA
rnacentral:misc_RNA from 1 species